CCCACAGCUGUCCUGUCCCCUGCAUGGUACAAGGAAUUUCAGGCCCUAGGUCAGCUCCUCUUAGAGGACAGCCAAAAUUGUGAGGUACAGCCUGUUGGGAGAUCAGCUGAGUUCUUGGGGCUAAGGAAUGUCCUGGAUCAAGCCUCAUCUAGACAACUAACUUCUUGGGACCUUGAUUUUCCCAAGCCCUGUUCCCAGUCCUUGGAGAAAGUUGGACAGGCAGCCUGUGGAUGCUGGUGCUGAGGGGCCAGGUCAGCAGUUACUCCUGCCCUUUCAAUCUCUCACAGUGUGAAGGAGCAAAACCUCUCCCAGAGCAUAAGGACCACCCACCCCAGUGCAGAGCUGUGCAAACCUGAAAAGCCUCAUAGACUGGAAUCAUGGUCCAGGUUCAUGGGAGAGUGAUCCUGGAGGCUUUCAGUGAGCAAGACCUGGAGGGAGCAUGUCCCAGCUGUCAGGGACCUUCCCUUCCCCUUGAACCUGACAUAUGUGUGCUCCCUCAGCACCAAAGCUUUCUGUGUAUUACUUUGAAAUGAUGUGCUCACUUAUCUGAGGGCCAGGUUUAUUUAUUCAGAGCCAAAUGGGAUGGACUAUUAUUAAAGAGGCAAGAAAGAAUUGGAUUGUAAAGUCUAGUUAUAUUUUCAUUGUCAAAAUUCCCAACUUACAGCCAGGCUGCUCCAGG
rnacentral:lncRNA from 1 species